GGAGGUAUUGUUGCUAAACUUAGCUAAAAUGCAUUAGCUAAACUGCAUAUUUACAUAUAUUUAAGCAUUGUUCUCAUGUGCCUUCAGCUAGAAGUGGGAACUUAGAAGUGGGUGACUUUGAAAUGAUCUUCUUUCCCUGUAGUUUUGUUGCCAAAAACAAGAAUUAGAAAAAAAGAAUGAGUACUUUCUCUUAACUUGUGUAGCACUGGGUAGUUCGAGGUGUUUGGGUGCAUGAUUUGUGAUCAGUUUACUAAGGAAAAAUAGCGGUUUCACCAAUAAUGACUACUACAAUUCAUAGAAAUCCAAACGGAUGCAAAGCAUUCCACCGUAUUAACACAGAGACAACUUCAAGGAAACAGCAACAGAUGCAGUGACACCCAACAUUAUGCUCAGCAACACCAGGGAAAUAAAUAGAAGUAUUCCCAGCAGAACUGCAAGUGACAGCAGUUCUGGGGACAUCUGAGAAGAGAUUCAGCUCAUCUGACUUCAGGAGUUUCUAGAAUGCACACUUGACCUGUUUUGGAUUUCUAUAUUAGGGUGAGAUGAAUCACACAUUGAAAGUGUGUUUCUCACCAGACAUUAAAAGAGCUGGGUGAGUGACUCAGAGGAUUAGACAAGGUGAAUCCCACUCUGCUGUCCUCCCAGGCACUCUGACCUGAUGCAACGAGUGAAAGCAACAAGCUGCACAAUGAAAGAGACAUUACAACUGACAGCUUCUCAAGACAUCAUUAUGUCAUGCGUGUGCAAGACACUGCUAAGCUGCAAAGAAGAUUAGUUCCCAAGAGUAGAAGCUUCUCUGAAUCUUAAGCAAAACUAGCUCCAGCUCUCAUGUACAUGCACACAUUUUACACACCCUGGCUUGGAGACCUUUCUGCAACCAGCUGCUUUCGUGGCCUUCCAGUUGCUUGCUACUUCAAGUACAUUAGAGAAAAUGCUGACAUUCGCUCCUGACAUUCCAUAACAAAUUACAGCCAUUUGUAUGAAGGGCUUCCUGUCAGUUGAGGGCUCCAAUAUAGUAUGCUUGUUCCAUUUCUUUAACUUACAUCUGGCAGAAGAUCAUCUCCUCUACUGUUCAUCAAGACUUCUCAGGGAUUUUCAAACCACUCCUUUCCUCAUCCACCCACAAAAGCCGGCUGAUAACAGCUUACGUACAUAAAUUAAUUCCAUAUAAAUGAACCCUCUGUCUGCAAGAGCACUGUAAAUACAGAGAAAAUAAACCAAACAGCCUAAGGUGGCUCAUUCCUCUUAUGUGCAGGAAUGUAUACACUGGGCCUUGGUGGUUCAUCCUGGUUAGCUGUAGUGGCUGACUGUCAGAUGAAAAAUUCUUUGCUUAGAACUGUGAUUGUACUUGUGAAGUUAUCUUAAAGCUCAUCGUGCUCACCAAAGACACCCUUAAUGAUCAGCAAGUUACAAGAAAUCUUAUUAUCUGUGUUAUAAUGUGACAUAGACAGUGGUAUGUGCAAUAUUGCCUUGACAUACUGAAGUCUUUGCUUUCACUGUAUUUGAUCACAUUGUUCAUAACUAAAGAUGCCUGUUAAAUAAAGAUUAAAGUGACCCCUUUAUGGUGUCACACUUCACGCUUGUCUCAACAUGGGGAUAAUAGGUAGAAGGAAUUUGUUCACCAUUUCAGUCAGCUCAGAGGGUAAUUCAGAUCAGAAAUGGUCUCCAAGGCCCUAUGAAUAUUCAUAUAUUUCUCUACUAAGUAGAUAAGGUACAAUGCAACCUUGUUUUCUUAAUAUUCCCUAGGCCAGGAAGGGUGAACCCAGGUCAAAAUCUAACUUCUUAGUGCUGCCUUGGGCAGAACAUGUUUGCCUCACUGCAUCUGCCACACCUGUGCAAACUGAAACAAAAACUUUCCCGAUCUUACAAGUUACAUGCCAAAAACUUCACCAAAAUGACACACCAACCAAACUUCAUCAAGAUAAACACCACCAGAAGUGUCAUAUACAAAUCACUCCUUCACAAUUUGCCUGGGCUGGACAUGCAGCUGAGUCCCAGAACAACCCAGUACCUCAGUUUCCACAGUUCCUUGAACUCCAUUCCACUCAGAGACAGAGAUGUGGAUUACACGAGUACAGCCUUUGGUCACAAAGGCACAUGCUCAGCUUGGAAAUCACACUGGAGCUCUUUGUAAGUCACAUGUGGCCCUGGAGGCUGUGUGGCCUUGUGAUAUUCUAUACAUGCAGUGGCUGUGAUUGACAUAGAGAAAUAAAGUAAAAACACAUUUAUUACACUUUCUGUCUUUUUCCGUUCCCAGAUGAGAAAGAAGCAUCUUUGGCUGUAGCUCAACAGCAGUAAAACUGUUCAACUUCCAACCUCACUAAAAUGUACUGUCAAAGUGGUAUUAAAUAAAUAGUGAAUGCCUGAGCCUGUGAGAGGAAACAAAAAGUAGUUCAUAGAUACAUGAGUGACUUUAUUGACAAC